rnacentral:rRNA from 1 species
AUUACGGAGAGUUUGAUCCUGGCUCAGAACGAACGCUGGCGGCGUGCUUAAUACAUGCAA